UGGGGAAUAUUGGACAAUGGAGGCAACUCUGAUCCAGCAAUUCUGUGUGUGUGAAGAAGGUUUUAGGACUGUAAAACACUUUUAGUAGGGAAGAAAGAAAUGACGGUACCUACAGAAGAAGCGACGGCUAAAUACGUGCCAGCAGCCGCGGUAAUACGUAUGUCGCGAGCGUUAUCCGGAAUUAUUGGGCUUAAAGGGCAUCUAGGCGGUUAAACAAGUUGAAGGUGAAAACCUGUGGCUCAACCAUAGGCUUGCCUACAAAACUGUAUAACUAGAGUAGUGGAAAGGUGGGUGGAACUACACGAGUAGAGGUGAAAUUCGUAGAUAUGUGUAGGAAUGCCGAUGAUGAAGAUAACUCACUGGACAGCAACUGACGCUGAAGUGCGAAAGCUAGGGGAGCAAACAGG
rnacentral:rRNA from 1 species